rnacentral:rRNA from 1 species
AACUAACGCUGGCGGCGCGUCUUAAACAUGCAAGUCGAACGGUAGUCCAUAAGCUUGCUUAAGGAUGAGAGUGGCGAACGGGUGAGUAACACGUGGAUAAUCUGCCUCCGGGUUGGGGAUAACUGUCCGAAAGGAUAGCUAAUACCGAAUGAGAUGGUGGUUAUGCAGAUAGCAGCCAUUAAAGGUGGGGACCGCAAGGCCUACUGCCUGGAGAUGAGUCCGCGGCUGAUUAGCUUGUUGGUGGGGUAAUGGCCUACCAAGGCGACGAUCAGUAGCCGGCCUGAGAGGGUGAACGGCCACAUUGGGACUGAGAUACGGCCCAGACUCCUACGGGAGGCAGCAGUUAAGAAUCUUGCACAAUGGGCGCAAGCCUGAUGCAGCGACGCCGCGUGAAUGAUGAAGGCUUUCGGGUUGUAAAGUUCAGUAAGC